rnacentral:lncRNA from 1 species
GUGGACAGAUUGCUUCAACUAUCUGCAAUCUGAAAACACUAACAGCUUUGGACUUAGGAAGUAACAAUUUGGAGGGAACAAUCCCACAAUGUUUGGUUGAGAUGAAUGAAUACCUUUGGAAUUUGGAUUUGAGCAACAACAGUCUUAGUGGGACUAUCAAUACAAAUUUUAGUGUUGGAAACGAUCUCACGAUCAUUAGCUUGCAUGGGAAUAAGCUAACGGGGAAAGUCCCACGAUCUUUGAUCAAUUGCAAGUACUUGACACUUCUUGAUCUAGGUAACAAUCAGUUGAAUGACACAUUUCCAAACUGGUUGGGACACCUACCUGAUUUGAAGAUUUUAAGCUUGAGAUCAAAUAAGUUUCAUGGUCCCAUUAAAUCUUCAGGGAAUACAAACUUGUUUGCGCGGCUUCAAAUUCUGGAUCUAUCAUCCAAUGGAUUUAGUGGUAAUUUACCAAUAAGUCUUUUUGGGAAUUUGCAAGCCAUGAAGAAAUUGAUGAGCGUACAAGAACCCCAGAGUAUGUUUCUGAUCAAUAUGCUGGUUAUUAUGAUUAUUUGAUGACAAUUACAACAAAGGGGCAAGAGUAUGAUUGUGUUCAAAUUUUGGAUUCUAACAUGAUUAUCGAUCUCUCAAAGAACCGAUUUGAAGGUCAUAUUCCAAGCAUUAUUGGAGAUCUCGUUGAACUUCGUACCUUGAACUUAUCUCAUAAUGUCUUGGAAGGUCAUAUACCAGCAUCAUUGCAAAAUUUAUCUGUACUCGAAUCAUUGGAUCUCUCAUCUAACAAAAUCAGCGGAGGAAUUCCACCACAACUUGCAUCCCUCACGUUUCUUGCAGUCUUAAAUCUCUCUCACAAUCAUCUUGUUGGAUGCAUCCCCAAAGGAAAACAAUUUGAUACGUUUGAGAAUAGCUCAUACCAAGGGAAUGAUGGGUUAUGUGGACUGCCAUUCUCAAAACAUUGUGGUGGUGAUGGUAGGGUACCACAAGCGACAAUUCCAGCUGAGCAAGAUCAAGAAGAAGAAGAAGAUUCACCAAUGAUCAGUUGGCAGGCGGUUCUCAUGGGUUACGGUUGUGGUCUAGUUAUUGGACUGUCUAUAAUAUACAUAAUGUUGUCAACUCAAUAUCCAACAUGGUUUUCGAGGAUGGUAUUGAAAUUGGAACACAGAAUGAUUACGAGAAUGAAAAGGCACAAGAAAAGAUAUUAGUGAGUAGCGACCUCCAGGUAUAUAACUUGAUCUAUUUUAUUUUAUUUCUAUUUUUUUUUACCCUCCGUAGGAGCUCCCACCCCUUUUGCUCCCUUGGUGACUCGAACUCGCAACCUUCGGGUUGGAAGUGAGAGGUGCUUACCAUCCGAGCAACUCCCUCUCGUCAUUCAACUUGAUCAUUAUCCUUCAGAAGAUUAUUUUUUAUAUAUCGAUGUAAUUUCUACCUACUUCAUCCUUUAAGCUCUUAACUUUAAUUCUUCAUUUUUGAAAAUUGCAGGAUUCAAGUCUACUGAAUUGCUGGGAUGCAAUAAGACGAGUUUUUGUUUACCAAUAGUCUGUUAUAUAGUAUGUAGUAAUUUAUUCAGCCUGAUUAUUAGUUAGCUACUUCAUUUCGACUGCAAUGUUCAGUUCAUAAAUUUAUGAAGUUAUCUUAUCUUUUUGUUUUAAUUACAUCAAUAAUUUCAAUAGCAAGCUAAACGUGUACACCUUUUAAGACUCUCCUAAAAAUUGGCUUAAAUAUCCUUAUGGUGUUAAAGAUUGCUCUAAAGUCACCACUCCUUGUUAGUCGAAAAUCACACUUGUCUAAUUUCAAAUGUUUAUAUGUAAAAAGAAUCGAAGAUAUGCCUUUUUUUCUCAACUUUGAUCUGUAGAGGUAUUGAUCUUGUCGCCUCUGCUCUCUGUGCGUUCCUAUUUCUUAAUAAAUCUCUGUGACAUUAGAUACAGGCCUUGUACACCAUACCUUGUAGGAAGACAAUAACGGAUUAGUUCAAGGAGUACUAAAAGUUCUGUUAAAGAAAAUGCUUAAAAACUACAUAUGACAUCUUGUAUUAUAAAGAGAAUGCAAGCUUGAGUCUACUUCAAAUGAUCAUAAUAUAUCGGAUACUCAUUAAAUGAGCAUUCUCAAUAACAGAGCUUGGAUCAAAUCUAUAUUAUGUGCACAGAAUUAUGAAGCAUGAAUACUAGUUCACCUCAACUUUUUCCUUUUCUUUUUGCUAAGAAAAGGCAUUUUGUUGGGUUAUACACAUUUACAAGGGUGAAAAAGAUGCCACAAUUUACACCAUCCUGUAUCAAACAGUCCAGAAUCGAGACGAAGAUAACUAGCUUUAUAAAAAAUUAUUGAUAAAAAUUAUUGAUCUAGGAAAAAGAUGCAUUCUUGAGCUUAUGCUCGAAACUAAUUAAGGGAUAAUUCUCAAAGGAGUACGAAAAGUUCUGUUAUAGGAAGUUUCGUUCAUAACGUUCAAGAAUUUGAAUUACUCUGUGGGAGUAUCAAUUUGGAGGGAACAAUCCCACAAUGCCUGGGUGAGAUGAAUGAAUACCUUUGGAAUUUGGAUUUGAGCAACAACAGUCUUAGUGGGACAAUCAAUAUAAAUUUUAGUAUUGGAAACUCUUUCAGGGUCAUUAGCUUGCACGGGAAUAAGCUAACAGGGAAAGUCCCACCAUCUUUGAUCAAUUGCAAGUAUUUGACACUUCUUGAUCUAGGUAACAAUAAGUUGAAUGACACAUUUCCAAACUGGUUGGGAAACCUACCUGAUUUGCAGAUUUUAAGCUUGAGAUCAAAUAAGUUUCACGGUCCCAUUAAAUCUUCAGGGAAUACAAACUUGUUUGCGCAGCUUCAAAUUCUGGAUCUAUCAUCCAAUGGAUUUAGUGGUAAUUUACCAAUAAGUCUUUCUGGGAAUUUGCAAGCCAUGAAGAAAAUUGACGAGAGUACAAGAACCCCAGAGUAUGUUUCUGAUCAAUUUGCUGGUUAUUAUGAUUAUUUGAUGACAAUUACAACAAAGGGACAAGAUUAUGAUUGUGUUCAAAUUUUGGAUCCUAACAUGAUUAUCGAUCUCUCAAAGAACAGAUUUGAAGGUCUUAUUCCAAGCAUUAUUGGAGAUCUUGUUGGACUUUGUACCUUGAACUUAUCUCAUAAUGUCUUGGAAGGUCAUAUACCAGCUUCAUUGCAAAAUUUAUCAGUACUCGAAUCAUUGGAUCUCUCAUCUAACAAAAUCAGCGGAGAAAUUCCACAACAGCUUGCAUCCCUCACAUUCCUUGCAGUUUUAAAUCUCUCUCACAAUCAUCUUGUUGGAUGCAUCCCCAAAGGAAACCAAUUUGAUACGUUUGAGAACAGUUCGUACCAAGGGAAUGAUGGAUUAUGAGGAUUGCCACCCUCAAGAGACUGUGGCCGUGAUGAUAGGGUACCACAAGAGACAAUUCUAGUUGAGCUAGAUCAAGAAGAAGUAGAUGAUUCACCAAUGAUCAGUUGGCAGAAGGUUCUCAUGGGUUACGGUUGUGGUCUAGUUAUUGGAUUGUCUGUAAUAUACAUAAUGUGGUCAACUCAAUAUCCAGCAUGGUUUUCGAGGAUGGAUUUAAAAUUGGAACACAAAAUUACUACGAGAAUGAAAAGGCACAAAAAAAAGAUAUUAGUGUGUAGCGACCUUCAGGUAUUCAACUUGAUCUUUAUCUUUCUUAAGAUUAUUUUUUAUAUAUCAAUGUAUUUUCGACCUCCUUCAUCCUCAAAGCUCUUACCUUUAAUUCUUCAUUUUUGAAAAUUGCAGGAUUCAUGUCUACAAAGUUUCUGAAGAUUAAGAUAAAAAGCCUCUAUCUUUCAUUUGUCUAUGGCAUGUAGAAAUAAAUUCGACUGAUAAAUAGAAGUCGGACAUAAAGUUGAAUCUUUGGAUCAAUCAGAUGAUAUGUGUCAUCACUAAAAACGUAGUAUUUCACUCAACUCUUUCACAUAACAUCAUAACACAAACAUAGAACACUCGAAUUUAAGUUCAAAAACAUAAAAAUCUGAAGUUACCGAGUUCGGAAUAUUUUUUUUCAGAUUCAUGAUGGUCCUUCAUCAAAAGAUCAAAGAAACAUUACCAGGGACCAAAGUUACAGUUUUCUAUCUUUAACUCUUUUCAUUGAAGCAGCAGCAAAAAGAUUUGCAUUAUUCUCUACUCCCUGAGCCUCACAUAGACAACAUCACGUGUUUUCAACUGGAAUCUGCAUUCUUUGAAGAGUUGGAGAAAGAGCCUUCAACUCUUCCCAUCUAAGUCUCUGAUGACAGAGUUACCCGAUAUCUCUAUUGGUGGAAGGUAGACGGUACCGGUUGAAUUAAUCGAAUAGACUCAAGUUGACCUGAGCAUCACUGUUAUACAACAACAAACUAUGCCUCAGCCCCAAACAAAAACUUGCAUAGAGACCUGCAAUAAUGUUCGAAGCCCAAAAUAAGAUAGACAUAAACACACAAUUGAGUGAUAUAAUUUCUAGUGAUCGAAAUCCAUAUGGAUUUCAAACAUCAUUUAGGAAGAAAUCAAGCAGAAGCGCUUGACUAUAGGUGAGGUUUAUCGUGAUCAACUAUUGUUCAGAUUCAUUAAUUAGCAAACUGCUCCACAAUUUCAAAGUUUCGGGGCAAAGAAAAAGAUUCAUAAAAACAAAAGGGAAUACCUCGCCAAACAGACUUAGGAACCAGGUUUGUCAAGAUAUCACUGCAGCUUUCUUUACGCUGUGCUUUAAUCUCUGUGCAAAAUCCAUAUGCAGGAUCCUUUUAACUGAUUUUGAUGAGUCGAGAUUUCACAAAAAUGUAUCUGUCAAACUAUGACUUAGCUGAUGCGGCAGUUAUCAGCUCCACUAAAUAUACUUGUGGGCUGAAACCUUGUGUAUUCCAGCAUCUAACAUUGCUUUUCUCAAGGCAGCAGCAUAAUCCCACCUCUCUGCGCCAGCACAAAUGAUUCGGUUGCGACUCAAGCAGUAGUUGUGAUACUUCAUAUCCCAAUUCAAUAGCUCCAUGAAGUCUACAAGCACCCAUCAGAGCCCCCAAGACAGUAAAGGCAUCAGCUUCAAACAAGAUAAUGUUCCAUCUUAGCUACAAGUCAAAAUUCAUGAGACAUCGCUUCAAACAAUUUAAAACUGAAAUCGACAAGCUUGGCAUACACACAAUUAAGCUGAUAGAACAGACACAAAAGUAAUCUCAUUUGGUUGCAGCCCCUUUGCCCUCAUCUUCUCAUACAUCGUUAAUGCCUACUUCUCUCUUCUAAGAAAAGGGUUGUAGAUUAUUUGUGAUACAUUAAUUUCUAUUCGACCUCCUUUAUGAUGCAAAUAACAUUAAUGAAAGGCAUAAAACAGUACUAAAUUAAGACAGGGAGAUUUGAUAUAUAGUUUAGAGAAUAUUUGGGCCUCUUGAAGUGUAACAGCCCAAAGCACAAAACAUUGAAGACCCAAACCAGCAAAACAAAAGAAAAUCAGAAUCAGACAUAAAGUUGAAUCUUUAGAUCAUUCAAUCAGACGAUAUGUGCCAUCACUAAAAACAUUGUAUUUCACUCAACUCUUACACAUAACACAAACAUACAACACUCGACUUUAAGUUCAGGAACAUAAAAAUCUGUAGUUACAGAGUUUGAAGAUAUUUUUCUACCGACUCAUGAUGGUCCUUCAUCAAAAAAUGGAAGAAACAUCAGGAAAACACAGAAAAUCUAGUAUCCAACACGGCUUCAGAAGGAGAAUCUUCUGUUACUAUCAUCAAUGAAUUCAGUAUUACAAACUUCAGGCCUUAAGAACUGAAAUACAGGUGCUCGGAAAAUUGAUUUAGGCUGUAUAUGGAUGAUAUACAGCGGAAAGGGACGACAUAGGGUUCAUAUACAGUAGUAAUAUACGCUUGGUAUAUAUUCAGGUUUUCAAGGGUAAAAAUAGGGCCAAUGCCCAAACACAACCUGCAGCAGGCCCAAGAAGGGCCCAAAUUCAAUUUCUCCUUCACUCUUAACCUAUUUAACUGUGAUUAUUUACUGUUAGCUUUUUAUUAACUCUAACUUUAAAUAACUUAAUUAAAUACCCAAAAGAUGAACUAUAUUAUUUCUGUUAGUUUAUUUUAAUAUAAUUCAUUUUUUAUCAACUUUCAUACUUUUAUUGAAUAUAUUUAGUCAAAACUUUUUAUUUAUUCUUCAAUUAAUUUAAAAUCGUUUUCAUACUUUUAGUUAAUCAAAUCGGUUUAAAUUAUUAUUUUAAAAUGAUUCAAAUAAAUUUUAAUUAAUCUAGUUUUGUUAAAAUACUAAUCACUUGUAAUUAAAUUCAAAUAUUUUAAUUAAGGUCCCCCUUUCUAAAAAAAAUCAAAAAUUGUUCUUUGUUUAACUAUUUUUUUCAAGUUAAUAUUAAAAGUCAUUUUCAUAAUCACUUCCCAAAAAAUAGUCAAAAAAAUAUUUUAACCAAGUUGUAGGAUAACCGCGUGUUAGCGGAUGCUUCAAAUGCCUUAAAAACCUUCUUGAAGCGUAAAUAAGAACCUCUUACCCAUUUUCUCUAAAUUUUUAAAGACUUAAUCUGUUAGAGUCUUUUUAAAUUAUAAGUUUUUUUGUAAUUUCUCUAAAAAAUAAAGUAGCGACUCUUUUCUAAGUAUUUUUCUCAAAUUGUCUUAUACUUAAAGCAUUUCAAAAGUAAUUUUUCUAAAGAUAGUCAAAUUACAAUAUAUAUAACAUUUAGAUCAUUCGAUCAGAUGAUAUUUGUCAUCACUAAAAACAUUGUAUUCACUCAACUCGUUCACAUGACAUCAUAAUAAAAACAUAGAGCACUCGACUUUAUGUUCAGAAACAUAAAUUUGUAGUUACAGAGUUCGAAAAUAUUUUUUACAGACUCAUCGAAAGAUCAAAGAAACAUCAGGAAACCAUGGACCAAAGUUGAAGUCUUCUAUCUUUAACUAUUUUCAUUGUAGCUUAUAUCAUAAAAAAAUUAACUCAAAGGAGAUUUGGACUCAACUUCAACUUCCUGUGUAUAAUAUUUCAAGAAUAGUAAAACAAGUUGAUAUCUAAAUUUACUUUGAAAUGGCCUUCAUACUUGGAACUAUUAAUUACUGCAGAACUUUAAUCACUCAUUAAUGUAUAAAACAUGUACCCUAUUGAGUUUUCUUAUUGGGAGAAACGGUAGUCUAUCAAUUAGUAAUGACUUUCCAAUUUUUUGGUAGUUUAUCAAUAAAUUAGUAAUGACUUUCCUACAUAAAUUAAAUGAAUACAUGGAUUCUUUAUUACCACAAAUUUUUUAAAAUAACAGUUUUUUUUUUUAAAGUAAGGAAAAAAUGGUCAAUUAAUUUUGUACAGGUAUUUCGUAAUCCAACUUGGCACUUUGAAGCUUCACAAUUUUAAUUGAGCUUUAUAUUUUCAUUGGAACGAACUUUAAUUCUUUAACAUGUGUAUCUUGAGGAGAAGAGAAAGGGAAAGUUCUGAGUGGGGUUAAGGGAACCAAAACAAAUACCUUUUAUGUGACAUUUUUGUCUAUAUAUAAUAAUGUAUCAGACAAAAUGCAUUUGUUAUAUACAAGCGGUGGGACUUUGUUACGUUGUUGCUUUCAUUUGAACAUAUUGAAUGUGCAUAUGUGAUUGUCAACUUCAAAUUGACUGAAAAUGCUUAAUUUAUGCUAAUCUCUAUCUCAUCAAAAUUAUUGAAUACACACACAGAGCAAAUAUCUUCUCUACCAACUUAAUUAGUUUUGAUCAUUUUUAGUGCGGAAAUGGGUUAUGUAAAACUUGUAUUUUUUAUGUUAUAUACCUUUCUCUGUCAACUUGGUAUCUCCUCAUCCUUACCUCAUUUAUGCCCCGAAGAUCAAGCUCUUGCUCUUCUACAAUUUAAGCACAUGUUUACCAUUAAUCCUAAUGCUUCUAAUUUUUGUCGUGAAAUAAUAACAGAUCAAGAGAUUCAGUCAUAUCCAAAAACCCUUUUAUGGAACAAGAGCACAGAUUGUUGCUCAUGGGACGGAGUUCAUUGUGACGAGAUGACGGGACAAGUAAUUGAGCUUGAUCUCAGUUACAGCACACUUCAAGGCAAGUUUCAUUCCAAUAGUAGCCUCUUUCAAUUAUCCAAUCUCAAAAGGCUUGAUUUGUCAUGUAAUAAUUUCACCGGAUCGCUCAUUUCACCUAAAUUUGGUGAGUUCUCUAGCUUGACGCAUCUUGAUUUGUCAGGUACAGGUUUUACAGGUCUAAUGCCAACAGAAAUCUCUCACCUUUCUAAAUUACACGUUCUUCGAUUCAGUGGUCUAUAUGACCUUAGUCUUGGGCGUCACAAUUUUGAACUGCUCCUUAAAAACUUGACCCAAUUAAGAGAGCUCAACCUUGACUAUGUAAACAUCUCUUCCACAAUUCCUCAGAAUUUCUCUUCUUAUUUAAAAAAUCUACGGCUUCCAUACACAGAUUUAUGUGGGGUAUUGCCCAAAAGAGUUUUCCACCUUUCCGAUUUAGAAUUCCUUGAUUUAUCAUCCAAUUCUCAGCUCACUGUUAGGCUUCCCACAACCAAAUGGAAUAGCACUGCAUCACUCAUGUACUUACGUCUCUAUGACGUGAAUAUUACUGAUAGGAUACCUGAAUCAUUUAGCCAUCUAACUUCAUUGCUUGUAUUGGACAUGAGUGAUUGUAAUCUGUCAGGGUCUAUUACUAAACCUCUAUGGAAUCUCACCAACAUAGAGUUGUUGGACCUUGGUAAUAACCAUCUUAAAGGAUCAAUUUCCCGGUUAUCGAGAUUUGGAAAGCUCAAGGACUUAUCACUUAGAAAUAACAACUUUGAUGGCCAACUUGAGUUCUUAUCCUGUAACAGAAGUUGGACCCAACUUAAAUGGCUAGAUUUUACAUCCAAUUUCCUAACUGGUCCAAUUCCAUCCAACGUAAGUGGACUACAAAAUCUACAAUCACUCUACUUGUCAUCAAACAACUUGAAUGGGACUAUACCUUCCUGGAUAUUCUCCCUUCCUUCACUGUCAGAGUUAGAGUUGAACAAUAACACUUUCAGUGGAAAAAUUCAGGAGUUCAAGUCCAAAACAUUGUCUCAAGUUGAUCUAAAACAAAAUCAACUAGAAGGUCCUUUACCAAAUUCACUCCUAAACCAGCCACUCCUAACAUAUCUUCUCCUUUCACACAAUAAUAUCAGUGGACAGAUUGCUUCAACUAUCUGCAAUCUGAAAGAAUUGACUGUGCUAAAUUUGAGAAAUAAUAAUUUGGAGGGAACAAUCCCACAAUGCCUGGGUGAGAUGAAUGAAUACCUUUGGAAUUUGGAUUUGAGCAACAACAGUCUUAGUGGGACAAUCAAUAUAAAUUUUAGUAUUGGAAACUCUUUCAGGGUCAUUAGCUUGCACGGGAAUAAGCUAACAGGGAAAGUCCCACCAUCUUUGAUCAAUUGCAAGUAUUUGACACUUCUUGAUAUAGGUAACAAUCAGUUGAAUGACACAUUUCCAAACUGUUGGAAACCUACCUGAUUUGCAGAUUUUAAGCUUGAGAUCAAAUAAGUUUCACGGCCCCAUUAAAUCUUCAGGGAAUACAAACUUGUUUGCGCAGCUUCAAAUUCUGGAUCUAUCAUCCAAUGGAUUUAGUGGUAAUUUACCAAUUAGUCUUUUUGGGAAUUUGCAAGCCAUGAAGAAAAUUGACGAGAGUACAAGAACCCCAGAGUAUGUUUCUGAUCAAUUUGCUGGUUAUUAUGAAUAUUUGACCACAAUUACAACAAAGGGACAGGAUUAUGAUUCUGUUCGAAUUUUGGAUUCUAACAUGAUUAUCAAUCUCUCAAAGAACAGAUUUGAAGGUCAUAUUCCUAACAUUAUUGGAGAUCUCGUUGGACUUCGUACCUUGAACUUAUCUCAUAAUGUCUUGGAAGGUCAUAUACCAGCAUCAUUGCAAAAUUUAUCUGUACUCGAAUCAUUGGAUUUCUCAUCUAACAAAAUCAGCGGAGGAAUUCCACCACAACUUGCAUCCCUCACAUUUCUUGCAGUCUUAAAUCUCUCUCACAAUCAUCUUGUUGGAUGCAUCCCCAAAGGAAAACAAUUUGAUACGUUUGAGAACACUUCCUACCAAGGGAAUGAUGGGUUACGUGGAUUGCCACUCUCAAAACACUGUGGCGGUGAUGAUAGGGUACCACAAGCAAUAACUCCAUCAGAGCUAGAUCAAGAAGAAGAAGAAGAUUCACCAAUGAUCAGUUGGCAAGCGGUUCUCAUGGGUUACGGUUGUGGACUUGUUAUUGGACUGUCCGUAAUAUACAUAAUGUUGUCAACUCAAUAUCCAACAUGGUUUUCGAGGUUGGUUGUGCAAUUGGAACACAGAAUUACUACGAGAAUGAAAAGGCACGAGAAAAGAUAUUAGUGAGUAGCUACCUUCAAGUAUUCAACUUGAUCUUUAUCUUUCUUGAAGUCAUUUUUUAUAUAUCAAUGUAUUUUCGACCUCCUUCAUCCUCAAAGCUCUUACAUUUAAUUCUUCAUUUUUGAAAAUUGCAGGAUAAAGUUUCUGAAGAUGCAGAUAAAAAGCCUUUAUCUUUCAUAGUUUGUGAUGUUUCCAUAAAGUAUUUGUUAUCCUAUGAAUAAAAACAUGACUUUCCCUUCCUUUGAGACUACAUACCAUAAAGUCUAUGGCAUGUAGAUAUAAAUUCGACUGAUAAACAGAAACCGGACAUAAACUUAAAUCUUUAGAUCAUUUAAUCAGAUGAUAAUACGUGUCAUCACUAAAAACAUAGUAUUUCACUCAACUCUUUCACAUGACAUCAUAACACAAACAUAGAACACUCUACUUUAAGUUCGGAAACAUAAAAAUCUGAAGUUACAGAGUUUGAAAAUAUAUUUUUUCCGAUUCAUGAUGGUCCUUCAUCAAAGGAUCAAAGAAACAUUAGGAAAAAUAUUUGCAUUAUUCUCUACUGCCUGAGCCUCACAUAGACAACAUCAUGUGUUUUCAACUCGAAUCUACAUUCUUUGAAGAGCUGAAGAAAGAACCUUCAACUCUUCCCAUCUAAAUCUUGGAUGAUAGAGUUACCCGAUAUCUCUAUUGGUGGAAGGUAGACGGUACCAGUUGAAUUAAUUGAAUAGAACACAAGUUGACCCAAGCAUCACUGUUAUACAAUAACAAACUACGCCUCAGCCCCAAAAAAUAACUUGCAUAGAGACCUGCAAUAAUGUUCAAACCCCAAAAUAAGAUAGACAUAAACAUAUAACUGAGUGAUAGAAUUUCUAGUGAUCGAAAUCCAUAAGGAAUUCAAACUUCAUUUAGGAAGAAAUCAAGCAGAAGCGCUUGCCUAUAGGUGAGCUUUAUUGUGAUCAACUAUUGUUCAGAUUCAUUAAUUAGCAAACCGCUGCAUAAUUUUGAAGUUUCGGGGCAAACAAACUUUGGAACCAGAUCUGUCAAGCUAUGACUUAGUUGAUUUUGAUGAGUCGAGAUUCCAUCACCAAGAUGCGGCAGUUAUCAGCUCCACUAAAUAAAACUGUGGGCUGGAACCUUGUGUGUAUUCCAGCAUCUAACAUUGCUUUUCUCAAGGCAUCAGCAUGAUCCCACCUCUCUGCACCAGCAUAAAUGCUUGAGAGUUGCAUAUAACACCCUGAAUGCUUGAGAGUUAUGCUACUUCAAUAGCUCCAUGAAGUCUACAAGCACCCAUCAGAUCCCCCAAGACAGUAGCAUCAGCUUCAAAAGGCAUCUUCUUUAGUCUUCCUGCAGUUUCCCAGCUCUCCCUAAGAGAUCAACCACACAACCAUAAGUUGAAUCUUUAGAUCAUUCAAUCAGGUGAUAUGUGCCAUCACUAAAAACAUUGUGUUUCACUCAACUCUUUCACAUAACACAAACAUACAACACUCGACUUUAAGUUCAGGAACAUAAAAAUCUGUAGUUACAGAGUUCGAAGAUAUCAUUAAUGCGUGCUUCUCCCUUCCAUUCAAGCUGGGGAAGAAAUCAUAACACGACCAUCGCAUCAAUUACCUUUGAAGCAUAUAUCAAACAACCCAUAAAAUGAGAUCAAUGCGGUCGUCAGAAGUUGAAGCAUAUGUUCUGUAACAGCCCAAAGCACAAAACAAAAGAAAAUCAGAAUAAGAAUCAGAAAUAAAGUUGAAUCUGAAUCGUUAGAUCAUUCAAUCAGACGAUAUGUGCCAUCACUAAAACCAUUGUAUUUCACUCAACACGUUCACAUAACACAAACAUAGAACACUCGACUUUAAGUUCAGGAACAUAAAAAUCUGUAGUUACAGAGUUUGAAGAUAUUUUUCUACAGACUCAUGAUUGUCUAUAAUAAGGUAUCACACAAAAUGCAUGUAUUUUUACAAAGUGAUUGUGUUAUCAAAUAACUACAUGAACUCUAAAUACUCAUACAUAAGUAGUGAUUAUCAUUUAAAGAGCACUUUCAUGGAACUUUUUAAUUGUGCAAAUUUUAUUUCAGGAGAAGUUAAAAAAAGAAAAGGCGAAUUUGUGAAUUUACUCCGAAAAUUUUAAAAAGUGACCUUCAUUUUUUAAUUUUCUUUUGUACAAAAAUGGACUAAUGGACCUGAGAUCAUGCUGAAAGUAUAACUUUACAUUUUAAUAAACAUUUGACAGAAAGCAAAGUAGAAACUUUCUUCUCUUCUUUUGUUUUGUAAUAGAAAGGCAAAGUUAUGGGUGGGAGUGGGGGCAGGGUUGUUAAAGGAGUAAGAAAAGUUCUGUCACAGCAACCAACACUAUAUUAUCCUAACCAGUCAAUAUCUUUUUAGAAUUUUGACUUGAAAUGUCUUUUCUCAAAGUAUAUACGUCAAUUAUUACUUUAUUCUUAAUCAAACUUUUUGAAUUUCAGCAGAACUGAUUAUAUCAAUGCAAUAAUUGAAGGUGAGGGGUUCCAAACAAGUACUGCUGCAACAUAAGGUUGAUGUAAUUUAUUUUGAACUCACCAAAGUUGAGGAAAAUAAGGUUUCUUGAAGGAGUAGCAUUGAGAAUGUGAAACUUUGUUCAUACACCCAACCGACAUAACAACUUUCUGAUUUAUUCAAUCAUGGUUAUCAAAUGCAGCUCAUACCUAUAGAUUAUCUCCAAAAUAGCUUUCUACUUCAUCACAUCCAGUUCCAAAAUUGUGAAAAUCUGAAUCUGGAAAAGCAGGUUACUGAUCUAUUAUUUUGUUCACUUACAGUAUUAGCCAAUCGUGGAUUUAUCAAAAUAGUACUUUUACUUGUCCCAAUUUUUAAUAAAAAGAAGAAGAGAAAGGUGUGUGUAAAGAGAAUCAAAACAAAGAACUUUUUUGUGAACUAUUGAAUGAAAAUGACCUGGAAUUGAUUACUCCAAAGCAACAACUAAACUUCUUUGCUUAGUUUGUGCUAUAUAUAUCUCAUCAAACUUACUAUAGACACAGAGCAAGCAUUUCUUGAUUUCUUCUCUAUCAACUUAAUUAGUUUUGAUCAUUUUAGUGCAGAAAUGGGUUGUGUAAAACUUGUAUUUUUUAUGCUAUAUACCUUUCUAUGUCAACUUGCUUUCUCCUCAUCCUUACCUCAUUUGUGCCCCAAAGAUCAAGCUCUUUCUCUUCUACAAUUCAAGCACAUAUUUACCAUUAAUCCUAAUGCUUCUGAAUAUUGUUACGACAUAACAGACCAAGAGAUUCAGUCAUAUCCACGAACUCUUUUAUGGAACAAGAGCACAGAUUGUUGCUCAUGGGAUGGAGUUCAUUGUGACGAGACGACAGGACAAGUGAUUGAGCUUGAUCUCCGUUGCAGCCAACUUCAAGGCAAGUUUCAUUACAACAGUAGCCUCUUUCAACUCUUCAAUCUCAAAAGGCUUGAUUUGUCUUGCAAUAAUUUCUCCGGAUCGCUCAUUUCACCUAAAUUUGGUGAGUUCUCUAACUUGAGGCAUCUUGAUUUGUCGCGUUCAAAUUUUACAGGUCUAAUCCCAGUUGAAAUCUCGCACCUUUCUAAACUACACGUUCUUCGUAUAGGUGAUCAAUAUGAGCUUAGUCUUGGACCUCACAAUUUUGAACUGCUCCUUAAGAACUUGACCCAAUUAAGAGAGCUCAAUCUUCACUAUGUGGACAUCUCUUCCACUAUUCCUUCAAAUUUCUCUUCUCAUUUAACAACUCUACAACUUGCAGACACACAGAUACGUGGGAUACUUCCCGAAAGAGUUUUCCACCUUUCCAACUUAGAAUCCCUCGAUUUAUCAGAAAAUCCCCAGCUCACUAUUAGGUUUCCCACUACCAAAUGGAAUAGCAGUGCAUCACUCAUGGAGUUACAUCUCAGUCAUGUGAAUUUUACUGGUAGGAUACCUGAAUCUUUUAGCCAUCUAACUUCACUGCAUAAGUUGUACCUUGAUAAUAACCAUCUUGAAUGACCGAUUUCUCAGUUCUUGAGAUUUGAAAAGCUCAGGUACUUAUCACUUAGAAAUAACAACUUUGAUGGCCAACUUGAGUGUUUAUCCUUUAACAGAAGCUGGACGCAAUUUGUAAUGUUAGAUUUUCGGUCCAAUUCCCUAACUGGUCCAAUUCCAUCCAACGUAAGUGGACAGCAAAACCUAAAAUGGCUUAUCUUGUCAUCAAACCACUUGAAUGGGACUAUACCUUUCUGGAUAUUCUCCCUUCCUUCACUGAUAAUGUUAAACUUGAGCAAUAACAUUUUCAGUGGAAAAAUUCAGGAGUUCAAUUCCAAAACAUUAGCUGUCGUUAUUCUGAGAAAAAAUCAGCUGGAAGGUCCUAUUGCUUCAGCUAUCUGUAAUCUGAAAACAUUGUUUCUACUAGAUUUGAGAAGCAAUAAUUUGGAGGGAACAAUCCCACAAUGUUUGGGUGAGAUGAGUGCAGUUGAGAUUUUGGAUUUAAGCAACAAUAGUCUUAGUGGGACAAUCAAUACAACUUUUAGUAUUGGAAACUAUCUCAGAGUCAUUAGCUUGCAUGAGAAUAAGCUAGAGGGGAAAGUCCCACGAUCUUUGAUCAAUUGUAAAAAUUUGGAACUUGUUAAUUUAGGUAACAAUCAGUUGAAUGAUACAUUUCCAAGAUGGAUGGGAAUCCUACCGAGUUUGAUGAUUUUAAAUUUGAGAUCAAAUAAGUUGCACGGGCCCAUUAAAACUUCAAGGACUGGAAACUUGUUUGCGCAGCUUCAAAUUAUGGAUCUAUCAUCCAAUGGAUUUAGUGGCAAUUUACCUGAAAGUCUUUUUGUGAAUUUGCAAGCCAUGAAGAAAAUUGAUGAGAACAUGAUAGGGAAAGAGGUUUUUGAUUAUGAUGAUUCUUUAACAAUUACAAUAAAGGGAUUGGAUCUUACUUUUGCUAGAGUUUUGUGGAGAAAUAACAUAGUUAUAGAUCUCUCAAGAAAUAGAUUUGAAGGUCCUAUUCCAAACAUUAUAGGACAUCUCAUUGGACUUCGUGUGUUAAACUUAUCUCAUAAUGUCUUGGAAGGUCAUAUACCAGCAUCAUUGCAAAAUCUAUCUGUACUCGAAUCAUUGGAUCUCUCAUCUAACAAAAUCAACGGAGAAAUUCCGCAGCAACUUGCAUCCCUCACAUUUCUUGAAGUCUUAAAUCUCUCUCACAAUCAUCUUGUUGGAUGCAUUCCCAAAGGAAAACAAUUUGAUACGUUUGAGAAUAGUUCAUACCAAGGGAAUGGUGGGUUACGUGGAUUGCCACUCUCAAAACAUUGUGGUGGUGAUGGUAGGGUACCACAAGCAACAAUUCCAGUUGAGCUAGAUCAAGAAGAAGAAGAUUCACCAAUGAUCAGUUGGCAGGCAGUUCUCAUGGGUUACGCUUGUGGUCUAGUUAUUGGACUAUCUGUAAUAUACAUAAUGUUGUCAACUCAAUAUCCAGCAUGGUUUUCGAGGAUGGAUUUAAAAUUGGAACACGGAAUUACUACGAGAAUGAAAAAACACAAGAAAAGAUAUUAGUGUGUAGCGACCUCCAGGUAUUCAACUUGAUCUUUAUCCUUCAAAAGAUUACUUCUUAUAUAUCGAUGUAUUUUCCACCUCCUUCAUCCUUAAAGCUCUUAACUUUAAUUCUUUAUUUUUGAAAAAUGCAGGAUUCAAGUCUACUUAGUUGCUGGGAAUGUAGAUAAAAGCCUUCAUCUUUCAUAGUUUGUGAUGUUUCCAUGAAGUGUUUGUUAUCUUAUGAAUAAAGAUAUCACUUUUCUUACUUUGAGACUCAACCAAAUUUUGUUUUCAUUUGUCUAUGGCAUGUAGAAACAAAUUCGACAGAAACAGAAAUCGAACACAAACUUGAAUCUUCAUAUCAUUCAAUCGGACGAUAUAUGUCAUCACUAAAAACAUUGUAUUUCACUCAACUCUGUCACAUGACAUCAUAACAAAAACAUAGAGCAGUCGACUUCAUGUUCAGAAACAUAAGUCUCAGAUGACAGAGUUCCCCGAUAUCUCUAUUGGUGGAAGGUAGACGGUACUGGUUGAAUUAAUUGAAUAGAACACAAGUUGACCUGAGCAUCUCUGUUAUACAACAACAAACUACGCCUCAGACCCAAACAAUAACUUGCAUAGAGAUCUGCAAUACUGUUCAAAGCCCAAAAUAAGAUGGACAUAAACACACAAUUGAUUGAUAGAAUUUCUAGUGAUCGAAAUCCAUAUGGAUCUCAAACUUCAUUUGGGAAGAAAUCGAGCAAAAGCUCUUGACUAUAGGUGAGGUUUAUCGUGAUCAACUAUUGUUCAGAUUCAUUAAUUAAUCAGCAAACCGCUCCAUAAUUUCAAAGUUUCGGGGGAAACAGACUUUGGAACCAGAUCUGUCAAGCUAUGACUUAGUUGAUUUUGAUGAGUCGAGAUUCCAUCACCAAGAUGCGGAGUUAUCAGCUCCGCUAAAUAAAACUGUGGGGUGGAACCUUGUGUAUUCCAGCAUCUAACAUUGCUUUUCUCAAGGCAGCAGCAUAAUCCCACCUCUCUGCGCCAGCAUAAAUGAUUCCGUUGUGACUCAAGCAAUAGUUGUGCUACUUCAUUUUCCAAUUCAAUAGCUCCAUGAAGUCUACAAGCACCCAUCAGUGAACCUUUUAAUUGUGUAAAUUUUAUUUCAUGAGAAGUAAAAGAAAAAAAAAAAGGUGAUAUGUGAAUUUACUCUGAAAAUUUUAAAAAGUGACCAUUUUUUUAAUUUUCUUUGGUACGAAAAUGGACUAAUGGACCUGAGAUCAUGCUGAAAGUAUAACUUUACAUUUUAAUAAACAUUUGACAGAAAGCAAAGUAGAAAUUUUCUUCUCUUCUUUUGUUUUGUAAUAGAAAGGCAAAGUUGUGGGUGGGAGUGGGGGCAGGGUUGUUAAAGGAGUAAGAAAAGUUCUGUCACAGCAACCAACACUAUAUUAUCGUAACCAGUCAAUAUCUUUUUAGAAUUUUGACUUGAAAUGUCUUUUCUCAAAGUAUAUACGUCAAUUAUUACUUUAUUCUUAAUCAAACUUUUUGAAUUUUCAGUAGAACUGAUUAUAUCAAUGCAAUAAUUGAAGGUGAGGGGUUCCAAACAAGUACUGCUGCAACAAGUUAGAAACUGGUGAUGUAAUUUGUGUUGAAGGAGUAGCAUUGAGAAUAAGAGUAUCACUUCACUUUAUACAUAGUCUUUUUCUUACCAACUUCUAAUGCGAGACUUUGUUCAUACACCCAACCGACAUAACAACUUUCUACUUUAUUCCGUCGCGGUUAUCAAAUGCAGCUUAUACCUGCAGAUUAUCUCCAAAACAGCUUUCUACCUCAUCACAUCCAGUUCUAAAAUUGUGAAAAUCUGAAUCUGGAAAAGUAAUUAACAAACAUUGAACAGGUUACUGAUCUAUUAUUUUGUUCACUUACAGUAUUAGCCAAUCAUGGAUUUAUCCAAAUAAUACUUUUAAUUGUCCCAAUUUUUAAUAAAAAGAAGAAGAGAAAGUUGUGUGUGUGGAGGGUUGUAAAGAGAAUCAAAACAAAGAACUUUUUUGUGAACUAUUGAAUGAAAUGACCUUCUUGAAUUGAUUACUCCAAAGCAACAACUAAACUUCUUUGCUUAGUUUGUGCUAUAUAUAUCUUAUCAAACUUACUAUAGACACAGAGCAAACAUUCUUGAUUUCUUCUCUAUCAACUUAAUUAGUUUUGAUCAUUUUAGUGCAGAAAUGGGUUGUGUAAAACUUGUAUUUUUUAUGCUAUAUACCUUUCUAUGUCAACUCGCUUUCUCCUCAUCCUUACCUCAUUUGUGCCCCAAAGAUCAAGCUCUUUCUCUUCUACAAUUCAAGCACAUAUUUACCAUUAAUCCUAAUGCUUCUGAAUAUUGUUACAGCAUAACAGACCAAAGGAUUCAGUCAUAUCCACGAACUCUUUUAUGGAACAAGAGCACAGAUUGUUGCUCAUGGAAUGGAGUUCAUUGUGACGAGACAACAGGACUGGUGAUUGAGAUUGAUCUCCGUUGCAGCUAACUUCAAGGCAAGUUUCAUUCCAACAGCAGCCUCUUUCACCUCUCCAAUCUCAAAAGGCUUGAUUUGUCUUAUAAUAAUUUCUCUGGAUCGCUCAUUUCACCUAAUUUUGGUGAGUUCUCUAGCUUGACGCAUCUUGAUUUGUCAGGUUCAAGAUUUACAGGUCUAAUCCCAACAGAAAUCUCUCACCUUUCUAAAUUACACGUUCUUCGUAUGGGUGAUCAAAAUGGGCUUAGUUUUGGGCCUCACAAUUUUGAACUACUCCUUAAGAACUUGACCCAAUUAAGAGAGCUCAAUCUUGACUUUCUGAACAUCUCUUCGAGCAUUCCUCUGAAUUUCUCUUCUUAUUUAAAAACUCUAAGGCUUCUAGACACACAGUUACGUGGGGUAUUGCCCGAAAGAGUUUUCCACCUUUCCAACUUAGAAUCUCUCGAUUUAUCAGGAAAUCCCCAGCUCACUGUUAGGUUUCCCACAACCAAUUGGAAUAGUUGUGCAUCACUCAUGUACUUAUAUCUCGAUAGUGUUAAUUUUACUGGUAGGAUACCUGAAUCAUUUAGCCAUCUAACUGCACUUCAUAACUUGGACAUGGGUUAUUCUAAUCUGGCAGGGCCUAUUCCAAAACCUCUAUGGAAUCUCACCAACAUAGAACUUUUGUACCUUGGUUAUAACCAUCUUGAAGGAUCAAUUUACCAGUUCUCGGGAUUUGGAAAGCUCAAGAAGUUAUCACUUGAAAAUAACAACUUUGAUGGCCAACUUGAUUUCUUAUGCUUUAACAGAAGCUGGAGGCAGCUUGAAGCAUUAGAUUUUUCAUCCAAUUUCCUAACUGGUCCAAUUCCAUCCAAUUUGGUAAGUGGACUACGAAAUCUACAAUCACUCUACUUGUCAUCAAACCACUUGAAUGGGACUAUACCUUCCUGGAUAUUCUCCCUCCCAUCACUAUAUUUGCUACACUUGAGUGAUAACCAUUUCAGUGGAAAAAUUCAGGAGUUCAAGUCCAACACGUUAUCUGAAGUUGAUCUAAGAUAAAAUCAGCUGCAAGGUCCUUUACCAAAUUCACUCCUAAACCAGCCAAACCUAGCAUUUCUUCUCCUUUCGCACAAUAAUAUUAGUGGACAGAUUGCUUCAACUAUCUGCAAUCUGAAAACACUAAUAGCUCUAGACUUGGGAAGUAACAAUUUGGAAGGAACAAUCCCACAAUGUUUGGUUGAGAUGAAUGAAUACCUUCGGAAUUUGGAUUUGAGCAACAAUAGUUUUAGUGGGACAAUCAAUACAAAUUUUAGUAUUGGAAACUAUCUCACGGUCAUUAGCUUGCAUGGGAAUAAGCUAACGGGGAAAGUUCCACGAUCUUUGAUCAAUUGCAAGCAUUUGACACUUCUUGAUCUAGGUAACAAUCAGUUGAAUGACACAUUUCCAAACUGGUUGGGAUACCUACCUGAUUUGAAGAUUUUAAGCUUGAGAUCAAAUAAGUUGCAUGGUCCCAUCAAAUCUUCAGGCAAUAAAAACUUGUUUGCGCAGCUUCAAAUUAUGGAUCUAUCAUCCAAUGGAUUUAGUGGGAAUUUACCAGAAAAUAUUUUUGGGAACUUGCAAGCCAUGAAGAAAAUUGAUGAGAGUACAAGAACCCCGAAGUAUGUUUCUGAUCAAUAUGCUGGUUAUUAUGAUUAUUUGACGACAAUUACAACAAAGGGACAUGAUUAUAAUUAU